AGGAUGAACGCUGGCGGCGUGCUUAACACAUGCAAGUCGAACGAUGAAGGCUGGAGCUUGCUCUGGCUGGAUUAGUGGCGAACGGGUGAGUAACACGUGAGUAACCUGCCCCAGACUCUGGGAUAAGCGCUGGAAACGGCGUCUAAUACCGGAUACGAGCUUCCACCGCAUGGUGAGGAGCUGGAAAGAAUUUCGGUCUGGGAUGGACUCGCGGCCUAUCAGCUUGUUGGUGAGGUAAUGGCUCACCAAGGCGACGACGGGUAGCCGGCCUGAGAGGGUGACCGGCCACGACUGGGACUGAGACACGGCCCAGACUCCUACGGGAGGCAGCGAGGUGGGAAUAUUGCACAAUGGGCGCGAAGCCUGAUGCAGCAACGCCGCGUGAGGACGAAGGCCGUUCGGUUGUAACCGU
rnacentral:rRNA from 1 species